AGAAAGAAAGAGGAAAGAAGAUCAAAAGACGCCUUUAAUGACUCUGCAGACAUUUCUUAAACGAGCGAUUGGGAAGAAGAGAGCCGUAAAAGAAAAACCAAAACAAGGAAUGCAGGCACUUCAUUUUAAGCUCUGGCCACUGGGCGAGCAUCCACCACGCUGCCCUUUUCCUGCUCAUGAAAAAUGUACAUCACCCCCAGGGGUCCAGGCUGCCUGAGGGACCUAAGAGCCUUAAAGUACCAACAGCCCACAUUUCUUGAAGGCAGACUUUCAGUUUACAGGCAACUAAUCCUCACUGCAUCGGCUCCAACAGACGGGCACAAUCAAUUCAGGGAGAGCAAGCAACGCCAGGUCUGCUCAAUCUUCUCUCAACGAGCAGCAGAGGAGAGGCGGUGGGGGGGGGGGAGGAGACGGAAAGAAAGACAGAGAAUGCAGACAUCCCUGCUCCCAAGAUAGCUUAGCAGAGGCAAAGACGAAAAGACAAGUUGAAAUACAUAUCCUGGCAGAUGGAAGCGUUUGCUGUCGGAGGGAGAGGCUGAAACACCACGAAGACACAAAGCGCACCCAGCCUCCGGGCGCUGAGGAGUGUCUAAGGGAGCCAGGCAGACGGAAAAGGGUGUAUGUCGAAACAAAGGAACUGGGCACAGCACCUCUAGGGAGGAAAGAGGUCUGGAUUUGCUGAGGUCUCCACCGUCUAUGAUCUAUAGCAUAGCGUG